rnacentral:rRNA from 1 species
AUGAAAUUCGUGAGUAUAGAGAUGCCCGCAAUAUGGAGAAUUUACUCUUUCGACCUGAGUGAGAUGUCUCCUCCCGUUCUACAGUUACAAGUCCAUUUGCCAAAUAUGCAUUUGGUCCGUUAUAAAGACUGUGACAAUUUGGAAAAUGUGAUUAGUAUAGAAUCAUCUUCCAGGACAAUGCUUACUGAGUAUUUUAGAAUGAACUCUAUCGAUCCUUAUGCUAGAAAUUUCCUAUAUAAGGAAUUCCCUGAAUUUUAUACAUGGCAGAGGAACCACAAGACAUGGAGACAACGUACCAAGAGAAUUCAAAUAGGUCGACUUGUGGCUGCUCACCCUGCAGAAGGUGAACGCUAUUACUUGAGAAUAUUGCUAAACCAUGUGAGGGGGGCUACAUCUUUUGAUGAUUUACGUACUGUUGAUGGUGUUGUUUUCUCCACAUUUAGAGAAGCUGCAGAGAGAAGGGGUCUCAUAGAAGCAGAUGAUAGUAUUUCUGACUGUCUCACCGAAGCUGCCACAUUUCAAAUGCCCUAUGCACUUAGAAGGCUUUUUGCUACAAUUUUGGCAUUAUGCGAAGUUACAAAUGUUCGUGCAUUAUGGAACAAUCACUUUGACGCAAUGUCUGACGAUUUUCGUAGGGAGAACAUAAGUGAUGAAGCAAUCGAGAAACUCGUGCUUGGAGAUAUUCGAUAUUUGUUAUAUUCCAUGGGAAAGGACAUCAAGACCUUUGAUCUUCCAGAUCUAUUGGAUGCUGAUGAUCUGGACAGCUUAGAGGCGAGAGAAUUGAGUGAAGAAAUGUCUAUUGAAGUUGCUAAAGAAGACCUGGAGCUGCAGGCAACUUUAAACAAUGAACAACAGCUUGCUUUUGAUGAAAUAAUGGACCACGUCUUGAACCAGAAGGGUAAGGUCUUCUUCAUUGAUGGUCCAGGAGGUACAGGAAAGACGUACCUUUAUAAAGCUUUAUUGGCAAAAGUAAGAUCAAUGGGUUUGAUAGCCAUUGCAAUAGCAACAUCUGCCAUUGCAGCUUCUAUCAUGCCUGGUGGUCGGACGGCACAUUCCAGAUUUAAAAUACCAAUAAAUGUUCAAGAAGAUACUGUGUGCAACUUCAGUAAGCAGAGUGGGACAGCUGAAUUACUUCGAAGAGCAUCUUUGAUAAUUUGGGAUGAAGUUGCCAUGACAAAACGGCAAGUAGUUGAGGCACUUGAUAGAUCCCUGCAAGAUAUUACUGGUUGUAGAUCACAAUUUGGAGGUAAAGUAAUUGUGUUCGGAGGAGAUUUCCGACAAGUCCUUCCAGUAGUUAGGCGUGGCACUAGAGCCCAAAUUGUUAAUGCCAUUCUCAGAAAAUCUUAUCUAUGGGAGGAUAUAAGACAAAUAAAACUCUGGCGCAAUAUGAGAGCACAAACAGAUCCAUGGUUCUCUGAUUUUCUCUUGAGAGUUGGCAAUGGCGUUAAAGAAUCAAUUGGUGAAGACUAUGUGCAUUUACCUGAAGAGAUGGUUGUAGGUUACACACAUUCAGAGACCUCGGUUAGUAAGUUGCUAAACGAAGUAUUUCCUUCACUUGACAAGAAUGGAAGAUUACCGUCUUAUAUAAGUUCUCGUGCCAUUCUUUCCACCAAGAAUACGUGGAUGAAUUAA